UACAGAGGUGGCAAGCGUUGUUCGGAAUUACUGGGCGUAAAGGGCGCGUAGGCGGCCUUGUAAGUCCUGUGUGAAAUCCCCCGGCUCAACUGGGGAACUGCACAGGAGACUGCUUGGCUUGAGUUCGGGAGAGGGAAGCGGAAUUCCGGGUGUAGCGGUGAAAUGCUUAGAUAUGACAUAGAACACCAAUUGCGAAGGCAGCUGGCUACGCAUAUAUUGACACUGAGGCACGAAAGCGUGGGGAUCAAACAGG
rnacentral:rRNA from 1 species